rnacentral:rRNA from 1 species
GACGGAGGAUGCAAGCGUUAUCCGGAAUGAUUGGGCGUAAAGCGUCUGCAGGUGGCAGUUCAAGUCUGCUGUCAAAGACCGGGGCUUAACUUCGGAAAGGCAGUGGAAACUGAACAGCUAGAGUAUGGUAGGGGCAGAGGGAAUUCCCGGUGUAGCGGUGAAAUGCGCAGAUAUCGGGAGGAACACCUAUGGCGAAGGCAGCUCGCUGGGACGUUACUGACGCUGAGACGCGAAAGCGUGGGGAGCAAACAGG